CCGCGCUGAACUUAAGCAUAUCAAUAAGCGGAGGAAAAGAAACCAACAGGGAUUGCCCCAGUAGCGGCGAGCGAAGCGGCAACAGCUCAGAUUUGAAAUCUGCCUUCGGGCCGAGUUGUAAUCUGUAGGGAAGUUCUUUGGCGCGGCACCUACCUAAGUCCCCUGUUACGGGGCGCCAUGGAGGGUGAGAGCCCCGUAAGGCGGGUCGCCUAGCCUCUGUAAGACUUCUCCGACGAGUCGAGUAGUUAGGGAAUGCUGCUCUAAAUGGGAGGUAUAUUCCUUCUAAAGCUAAAUACCGGCCAGAGACCGAUAGCGCACAAGUAGAGUGAUCGAAAGGUGAAAAGCACUUUGAAAAGAGAGUGAAAUAGCACGUGAAAUUGUUGAAGGGGAAGCGCUCUUGACCAGUCGCGCGCCGGGGGCUCAGCCUUUGGUGUACUCCCUUCGGCGCGGGUCAGCAUCGGUUCUAGCGGCGGGAUAGAAGCACUGGGAACGUGGCUCUACGGAGUUUUAUAGCCCAGUGCGCACUACCGCCCGCCGGGACCGAUGAUCUUGCGCUUCGGCCAGGAUGCUGGCAUAAUGGUUAUAAGCGACCCGUCUUGAAACACGG
rnacentral:rRNA from 1 species